rfam:Anolis carolinensis chromosome 1, whole genome shotgun sequence.
AUAUGGAAUCAAAUGGAAUUCAAAGUCACCAGAUCCCAUCUGAACUUGGAAAUUAAAUAGGGUCAACUCUGAUUAGUACUUUGAUGAGAGAUCACCAAUGAAUGUCAGGAGCUGCAAUGC